rnacentral:rRNA from 1 species
ACGGAAGGCAGCAGUAGGGAAUAUUGGGCAAUGGAGGCAACUCUGACCCAGCAACACCGCGUGAAGGAAGAAGGUCUUCGGAUUGUAAACUUCUUUUAUGAGGGACGAAGGACGUGACAGUACCUCAUGAAUAAGCCACGGCUAACUACGUGCCAGCAGCCGCGGUAAUACGUAGGUGGCAAGCGUUAUCCGGAUUUACUGGGUGUAAAGGGCGCGUAGGCGGGGAUGCAAGUCAGAUGUGAAAUCUAUGGGCUUAACUCAUAAACUGCAUUUGAAACUGUAUCUCUUGAGUGCUGGAGAGGUAGACGGAAUUCCUAGUGUAGCGGUGAAAUGCGUAGAUAUUAGGAAGAACACCAGUGGCGAAGGCGGUCUACUGGACAGUAACUGACGCUGAGGCGCGAAAGCGUGGGGAGCAAACAGGAUUAGAUACCCUGGUA